rnacentral:rRNA from 1 species
GACGGGACCCGCACAAGCGGUGGAUGAUGUGGAUUAAUUCGAUGCAACGCGAAGAACCUUACCUACCCUUGACAUGUCCGGAACUUGCCAGAGAUGGCUUGGUGCCCGAAAGGGGAUCGGAACACAGGUGCUGCAUGGCUGUCGUCAGCUCGUGUCGUGAGAUGUUGGGUUAAGUCCCGCAACGAGCGCAACCCUUAUCAUUAGUUGCUACGCAAGGGCACUCUAAUGAGACUGCCGGUGACAAACCGGAGGAAGGUGGGGAUGACGUCAAGUCCUCAUGGCCCUUAUGGGUAGGGCUUCACACACGCUACAAUGGCCAACACAAUAGGUUGCUAAGCCGCGAGGUGGCGCCAAUCCAUAAAGUUGGUCUCAGUUCAGAUUGUAGGCUGCAACCCGCCUGCAUGAAGAUGGAGUUGCUAGUAACCGCAGGUCAGCUAUACUGCGGUGAAUACGUUCCCGGGGCUU